CACGUAGGGCGCAAGCGUUGUCCGGAAUUAUUGGGCGUAAAGAGCUCGUAGGCGGUCUGUUGCGUCCGCUGUGAAAACUCGGGGCUUAACCCCGAGCCUGCAGUGGAUACGGGCAGACUAGAGGUAUCAGGGGGAGAACGGAAUUCCUGGUGUAGCGGUGAAAAUGCGCAGAUAUCAGGAGGAACACCGGUGGCGAAGGCGGGGUCUCUGGGCCUUUACUGACGCUGAGGAGCGAAAAGCAUGGGGGGAGCGA
rnacentral:rRNA from 1 species